rnacentral:rRNA from 1 species
GACGAACGCUGGCGGCGUGCUUAACACAUGCAAGUCGAGCGGUAAGGCCCUUUCGGGGGUACACGAGCGGCGAACGGGUGAGUAACACGUGGGUGACCUGCCCUCAACUCUGGGAUAAGCCUGGGAAACCGGGUCUAAUACCGGAUAUGACUCCAUGACGCAUGUUGUGGGGUGGAAAGCCUUGUGCGGCUGAGGAUGGGCCCGCGGCCUAUCAGCUUGUUGGUGGGGUGAGGCCUACCAAGGCGACGACGGGUAGCCGGCCUGAGAGGGCGACCGGCCACACUGGGACUGAGACACGGCCCAGACUCCUACGGGAGGCAGCAGUGGGGAAUCUUGCGCAAUGGGCGAAAGCCUGACGCAGCGACGCCGCGUGAGGGAUGACGGCCU